UCCUGCCGCUACUCCUC
rnacentral:misc_RNA from 1 species